rnacentral:rRNA from 1 species
UGGCGAACGGGUGAGUAAUACAUCGGAACGUACCCUGAAGUGGGGGAUAACGUAGCGAAAGUUACGCUAAUACCGCAUAUUCUGUGAGCAGGAAAGAGGGGGGAUCGCAAGACCUCUUGCUUUAGGAGCGGCCGAUGUCGGAUUAGCUAGUUGGUGAGGUAAAGGCUCACCAAGGCGACGAUCCGUAGCGGGGUCUGAGAGGAUGAUCCGCCACACUGGGACUGAGACACGGCCCAGACUCCUACGGGAGGCAGCAGUGGGGAAUUUUUGGACAAUGGGCGCAAGCCUGAUCCAGCCAUGCCGCGUGAGUGAAGAAGGCCUUCGGGUUGUAAAGCUCUUUCGGUGGGGAAGAAAUGGCACGGGUUAAUACCCUGUGUUGAUGACGGUACCCGCAUAAGAAGCACCGGCUAACUACGUG